AUUGAACGCUGGCGGCAGGCCUAACACAUGUAAGUCGAACGAGUGGCGGACGGGUGAGUAAUGUCUGGGAAACUGCCUGAUGGAGGGGGAUAACUACUGGAAACGGUAGCUAAUACCGCAUACCAUCAGAUGUGCCCAGAUGGGAUUAGCUUGUUGGUUGGGUAACGGCUCACCAAGGCGACGAACCCUAGCUGGUCGGAGAGGAUGACCAGCCACACUGGACCUGAGACACGGUCCAGACUCCUACGGGAGGCAGCAGUGGGGAAUAUUGCACAAUGGGCGCAAGCCUGAUGCAGCCAUGCCGCGUGUCUGAAGAAGGCCUUCGGGUUGUAAAGUACUGUCAGCGGGGAGGCGUUACCCGCAGAAGAAGCACCGGCUAACUCCGUGCCAGCAGCCGCGGUAAUUC
rnacentral:rRNA from 1 species